UGAGGAAUAUUGGUCAAUGGGCGCAAGCCUGAACCAGCCAUCCCGCGUGAAGGAAGAAUGCGCUACGCGUUGUAAACUUCUUUUCCAGGGGGAGAAUUUUCCUGUCGAGACAGGGAUUGACGGUACCCUGGGAAUAAGCAUCGGCUAACACCGUGCCAGCAGCCGCGGUAAUGCGGAGGAUGCGAGCGUUAUCCGGAUUUAUUGGGUUUAAAGGGUGCGUAGGCGGAUUGAUAAGUCAGUGGUGAAAUUCUGCAGCUUAACUGUAGACUUGCCGUUGAUACUGUUAGUCUUGAGUGUGGUCAAGGCAGGCGGAAUGUGUAAUGUAGCGGUGAAAUGCUUAGAUAUUACACAGAACACCGAUUGCGAAGGCAGCUUGCUGGGUCAUUACUGACGCUGAUGCACGAAAGCCUGGGGAUCAAACAG
rnacentral:rRNA from 1 species